GGAGUCACGUUGUUCGGGAAUUAUUGGGCGUAAAGAGCUCGUAGGCGGCUUGUCGCGUCUGCUGUGAAAUCCCGGGGCUCAACCCCGGGCCUGCAGUGGGUACGGGCAAGCUAGAGUGCGGUAGGGGAGAUUGGAAUUCCUGGUGUAGCGGUGGAAUGCGCAGAUAUCAGGAGGAACACCGAUGGCGAAGGCAGAUCUCUGGGCCGCUACUGACGCUGAGGAGCGAAAGCAUGGGGAGCGAACAGGAUUAGAUACCCUGGUAGUCCAUGCCGUAAACGUUGGGAACUAGAUGUAGGGCCUGUUCCACGGGUUCUGUGUCGUAGCUAACGCAUUAAGUUCCCCGCCUGGGGAGUACGGCCGCAAGGCUAAAACUCAAAGGAAUUGACGGGGGCCCGCACAAGCGGCGGAGCAUGCGGAUUAAUUCGAUGCAACGCGAAGAACCUUACCAAGGCUUGACAUAUACGAGAACGCUGUAGAGAUACAGAACUCUUUGGACACUCGUAUACAGGUGGUGCAUGGUUGUCGUCAGCUCGUGUCGUGAGAUGUUCGGUUAAGUCCGGCAACGAGCGCAACCCUCGUCCUAUGUUGCCAGCACGUAAUGGUGGGAACUCAUGGGAUACUGCCGUGGUCAACACGGAGGAAGGUGGGGAUGACGUCAAAUCAUCAUGCCCCUUAUGUCUUGGGCUUCACGCAUGCUACAAUGGCCGAUACAAAGGGCUGCGAUACCGCGAGGUGGAGCGAAUCCCAAAAAGUCGGUCUCAGUUCGGAUUGGGGUCUGCAACUCGACCCCAUGAAGUCGGAGUCGCUAGUAAUCGCAGAUCAGCAACGCUGCGGUGAAUACGUUCCCGGGCCUUGUACACACCGCCCGUCAAGUCAUGAAAGUCGGUAACACCCGAAGCCGGUGGCCUAACCCUUGUGGAGGGAGCCGUCGAAGGUGGGACUGGUGAUAGAUAUAAAAAAGGGGCCUUUAAAAAAAAAAA
rnacentral:rRNA from 1 species